rnacentral:tRNA from 1 species
GGUAGUAUAGCUCAGUGGUAGAGCACGUGCCUAGCAUGCAUGAGGCCCUGAGUUCAAUCCCCAGUGCCUCUA